UACAGAGGUCUCAAGCGUUGUUCAGAUUCAUUGGGCGUAAAGGGUGCGUAGGCGGCGCGGUAAGUCGGGUGUGAAAUCUCGGAGCUUAACUCCGAAACUGCAUUCGAUACUGCCGUGCUUGAGGACUGGAGAGGAGACUGGAAUUUACGGUGUAGCGGUGAAAUGCGUAGAUAUCGUAAGGAAGACCAGUGGCGAAGGCGGGUCUCUGGACAGUUCCUGACACUGAGGCACGAAGGCCAGGGGAGCAAACGGG
rnacentral:rRNA from 1 species